UGUAGGUCACAAUUAAGGUUCUUUUUUUUUGUCGUUCUUAUAAUAUUAACAUUAUUGGUUUAGACGCCAAUAAAAUGAAAUUAUUUAAAAAUACAUUUCAAAAAGCUUUUAUGAAGUGUAACUGUAUUAAUUAGUUUCAAUAAUUAUUGUAUUUAAGUGUAUAAUAAAUCUAGACUAGUACAAUCAAUCCACGCGAUUAGAUAUAAGUUUGCCCAUUGUUAGCUUUUAGUUUUCUCACUAAUCUAUGAUCCCAUCACUUGUCUGGACCAGUUAGAAAAGAGGGAAGGAAUAAUACGGUAUAUGUCUUAGUUACCACCAUCACCUUUUUUAAAACUAGAAAAAAAAGGUUGUACGACUUCAGGUAAUCAUUCUCGGUUCCCGGUCACUUCAUCCCCGGUCACUUCAUCCCCGGUCAUUUCAUCCCCGGUCACUUCAUCCCUGGUCACUUCAUCCCCGGUCACUUCAUCCCCUGGUCACUUCAUCCCCGGUCACUUCAUCCCCUGGUCACUUCAUCCCCGGUCAUUUCAUCCCCUGGUCACUUCAUCCCCGGUCAUUUCAUCCCCUGGUCACUUCAUCCCCGGUCAUUUCAUCCCCUGAUAUUUUCAUCAUCUGAUCAUUUUUAUCUAACAAAUUGUAAUUUUAAAAAUCAUGAAAUGAGCAAUAUUUAAUGUAUUCAUUUUUUAUAUAAAUGACAAAAUUGUAACACGUUAAUGUUUAAAAGGAAUUAAAGCAAAACUUAUACAGGCGACAUGAGGAAAAAAAAUAAAACCUUAUUUCAAGGCUAAAAAUGACGCGCCCAUUUUCAAGAAAGAGCGAUUGAAAAAUAAAAUAAAGUGAAACAUGGUCGUACUUUCACCACACCUUGGUCUUUGAUGAUAAGUUAAUAGCGGCACGGUCAUAAUUAUUCUAAUCGCACUUCUAUCUCUCAAAAGAUUCCCACUACUUGCACCACACCUUGGUCUUUGAUGAUAAGUUAUCAGCGGCAUGAUCAUAAUUAUUCUAAUUGCACUUCUAUCUCUCGGGUUAUUUUUUUACUACUUCCACCAAACCUUGGCCUUCGAUCCGGAUAAUAUUAUGAUAUUACAACCCCCACAUCCAAUAGAAGCGCUAUAGCUAAGUACACACCCAGAUUUACAAUAGCUAAGUACACAUCCAGAUUUACAAUAUAAUAUAAGAUUUCUCAUUAAGAAAACAAAGUGGAAGAGGAAACAUUAUACAAGCAUUAGUAACAAGUCAUAAAAUGUCAAAAAGCAUUCUACAUAAUCAUAUUUAUACAUAAAAUAUUUAAUUGGGGAUGAAAUGACCGGGGAUUAAGUGACCGGGGGAUGAAGUGACCAGGGGAUGAAGUGACCAGGGGAUGAAAUGACCGGGGAUGAAGUGACCGGGGAUGAAGUGACCGGGGAUGAAAUGACCGGGGAUGAAGUGACCGGUCACCUUCAUUCUCGGCCACCUCAAUGCACGCGUUGGAUCUGACAACUCUGCAUGGGACAAAAGUAUUGGGUGUUUUGGUAUCGGAAAAGUAAAUAAAAAUGAACAAAGGCUCCUCGAGAUCUUCUCACUACACUCCCUCUGUGUCACUAAUACCUACUUCAAGACUAAUACACAGCACAGAGUAUCUUGGUGGCAUCCUCGCUCCAAACACUGGCACCAACUAGAUCUAAUCAUGGUAAGACAAAAGUGCUUAAAAUUUGUCAAGCGUACCAGGUCCUACCACAGUGUAGACUGUGACACAGAUCACUCCUUGGUAUGUAGUAAGAUUAAUCUUCUCCCUAAAAAAAUCCACCAUACCAAGCAGAUUGGAAGACCCCAAUCGGAUGUAAGCAAGAUGUGCCACCCUGAUCUCCAGAUACAGUUUGCGGAAUCUUUUGAACGCGAGUAUAAAAAUGUCUCUGGAAAUACAGCAACAGAAAAAUGGUAACACCUGUUAGACACCUUAUUUAUAUAGGUUAGUUAUUUAGCGACGCACCAUAGAAGACGCAUAUUGAACGGGACUAGUGACGUUUGGGAUAUGUUGGGUUAGAGACCGGAAAAUCAGUUAGCGAUAGAAUAUUCCAGGGUAACGACGUGUUUAGUGACAGAGACUUCUACUGUGGCCUUUUAUCAGAAUAAAUCCAUGUGAACUUGUUCAUCAGUGUUGACUACAUCUCUUCACUUGUUAAAACAGGUGUUGUUUUAUUCUAUAUGUAUUGUUGUUCAACUACACGGAAUACACCCGGACAAUUACACCCAAACGCCUGCAGAGUAAUUGGUUGACUUCAAGACAGCCUGAAUAAGCAACAUCACAGUGGCGACCCCGAACCUCGAAGCCGGACCCCUGAUGAAGCCGAACAUCGAACCGGACCUCGAAGCAGAACGUUUACUCAGGUGAGGGUCGUGCACUCGAAGUUAUAAAGUUUCAUCGGAGUACGGCUGAACACAGCAUCAUCGCAGAGUGACUUUGUUCUAGAUCUACAAGCAGUCGUCGCCUGUUUGAUCGCACGUUCAACGAGCCGUUAACUCAGGGUGACCUUCGUCAGGACAGUAAUCAUCGCAACGCCUGAUCUUCAUAUGCUGAAUCGACCUACAACCAGAGAAACCGUUCAUUCAUAACGGGUGAGAGAUCGUUAGUGAACCUGUUGGACAUAUUUUUUUUCUUCGUCAUAGGAGCCACAUCGAGUAUCAAGUUUUACCUCGUCAGUUUCGAGAAGGACAGUUUGCCCGCUGUCAGAAGUAUUGUGAGUACUACAAGUUUGGUAGCUAACUAAAUCGCUCUGUCGUCUUACCCUUUGAGAGAUUCUUGUGGAGCAGUUUGCUCAUUGAACCGGUUGCUUGCCACUUUUAUAACGGUCACUGUGUUUAACCUUUGGAAGGUUAGUGAAAUCGUAUUUGCUGGACAUUGAUCUAUUUAGUAUACGUCGGUCUAGACCAUAUCUAGACUUGUUAGCAGUGAAGUAGUGGAAACAGCUACAUCCACUUAAUUUCGUUGAAAACCGUUAAUCGUCUAACGGAACGUCGUCGGAGGUGACCUUGGUUUCACCUAGUCUACAUUGGACAGUUUGGUCUAGUGAAGCAGAGUACAACAGCAAACUUCGUCGUACUACCAGAGUAGCAGCAGAAGCAGUGAACUAUUUUAGAAAACCGUUAUUCGUCAGCCCAGAUCAAGUCAUCGUCAAGAAAGUCGUUAUUCGUCAGCCCAGAUCAAGUCAUCGUCAAGAAAUUCGUUAUUCGUCAGUCGUCCAGAUCAAGUUGUCGUCAAGAGACUGUUAUUUGUCAGUAGUCGUCUACACAAGUCAAGUCGUCGCCAGAAGAACCGUUAACCUAUUCGUCAGUAACUGUGUACACAAAGUCGUCGGAACUACACAUACGGUCAUCAACAGUCGCCGAAGGAACUGAAACAUUUUGCUGUGGCAUAUCAGGACAUCUGUGACAUUACGUGGAUACUGGUAGCACCGGAGAACAGAGUCAGAACUGGAAGAGAGGCAGUGGAAUUUGUUGUGAUCUAGCAUAUUCGGGAGUCCGAACAAAGGGAUCUUUCUUAUCAAAAGCUAAGUGCCAUUUUUCUUAUUAGUGUAUGUUUAGAUUGCCCUUAGAAAUAGAUUUUGUCUAAAUUUGGUAUGUUAGCCUGAGUAAAAUUCAGGUGGUGCUGAAGCCUUAAACCCGUUCGGGGAAGAAGACAUAAUUUAGAUGAAAAGCUAUAUUAUACGUUUAGAGUUGUAAUUGUUUUGUUUGUGUAAACGUCAUAUCCGUUGUUGCCUAGUUACUUCGUGACGUUAUCAUUGUGUGCCAUAUUGUCAUAUCCCAACCCAUAGCGAUAGUCUCAUUUACUUAUUUCAUUUGUUUAUAUUAUUUUAAAUUAUUUAUUUUUAUUAAUUUAAUUAGAUCUGUAUUUUUUUUUCACUUAAUGAUAGAAAGUGCGGGUAGGAUUCUUUUACUGUGAAUCAGACUAAAAUAAUUUUAGUUUGAGCGGUUAAAAUCAAAUAUGAUUUUGCCAUGAGAAUAAUGCCGAAACUGGCUAUGUAGUCAAACACUGUCGUCUGGCUAAAUAUAGAUCUACAAAUUUUGUACAUCUCUUUGGUACAAUUAAAUCAUCUAGACUCUAAUUUGAAAUAUUAUUAAUUGAAAGAUGAAUGAAGAUUACUGCCAGUGAAGAACACUUGUGACGUGUGACGUGCCCAUAAGAUGCCACAUUUUCUUUUAUGACGAACUGUGUACUAAUGAAGAUGAUUCUGGAAUGUUAUGAACAUUGACAUUGAAUAUGAGGAACUGUCAAGUCAAGAUGAAGAUGUCAAGAUGAAGAUGUCAAGAUUUUAUGUUUGUUGUCUUCCCCUUAAAUUGAAAAUGCCCUUGUAAGACUUGACAGUAGUGGAAAAAUAUUGACAUAUUUUUUUUUCAAGGGGGGGAGGAAUCUGUUAGACACCUUAUUUAUAUAGGUUAGUUAUUUAGCGACGCACCAUAGAAGACGCAUAUUGAACGGGACUAGUGACGUUUGGGAUAUGUUGGGUUAGAGACCGGAAAAUCAGUUAGCGAUAGAAUAUUCCAGGGUAACGACGUGUUUAGUGACAGAGACUUCUACUGUGGCCUUUUAUCAGAAUAAAUCCAUGUGAACUUGUU